GAUCUGUGAUGAGUCUUUCUCGCAUCUGACUCUAAAUUUGAUGUCUCUCAUCACUUUAGCUCUAGAAUUACUCUGAGAUCUG